GAGGGUAUAGCUCAGUGGUAGAGCGCAUGCUGAGCAUUCCCAAGGUCCUGGGUUCAAUCCCCCGCACCUCCA
rnacentral:tRNA from 1 species